GGAAUAUAAGAACCUGUCUCUUAACUUUUAACUAAAAAAAAUAAGAACCGGCUCUUAAAUAAGAGAUGUAAGAACCGGUUCUUAACUUUUUUAGUUAAAAGUUAAGAGACGGGUUCUUAUAUUCC
rfam:Brassica napus, WGS project CCCW01000000 data, contig: 13351